UGAAUUUCGUGUAGACCAAAUCCA
rnacentral:siRNA from 1 species